rnacentral:tRNA from 1 species
GGAGAGGUGCCCGAGUGGCCGAAGGGGGUUGCCUGCUAAGCAAUUGUGCCGUAUGGUACCGGGGGUUCGAAUCCCCCCUUCUCCG